GACGAACGCUGGCGGCGUGCUUAACACAUGCAAGUCGAACGGAAAGGCCCUUCGGGGUACUCGCGUGGCGAACGGGUGAGUAACACGUGGGUGAUCUGCCCGGCACUUUGGGAUAAGCCUGGGAAACUGGGGCUCAUACCGAAUAGGACCGCGGCCGGCGCGGGUUGUGGUGGAAAGCUUUUGCGGUGUGGGAUGGGCCCGGGGCCUAUCAGCUUGUUGGUGGGGUCAUGGCCUACCAAGGCGACGACGGGUAGCCGGCCUGCGAGGGUGACCGGCCACACUGGGACUGAGAUACGGCCCAGACUCCUACGGGAGGCAGCAGUGGGGAAUAUUGCACAAAGGGCGCAAGCCUGAUGCAGCGACGCCGCGUGAGGGAUGACGGCCUUCGGGUUGUAAACCUCUUUCAGCUCCGACGAAGCGCGAGUGACGGUAGGAGUAGAAGAAGGACCGGCCAACUACGUGCCAGCCGCCGCCGUAA
rnacentral:rRNA from 1 species